GGUUAAGCGACUAAGCGUACACGGUGGAUGCCCUGGCAGUCAGAGGCGAUGAAGGACGUGCUAAUCUGCGAUAAGCGUCGGUAAGGUGAUAUGAACCGUUAUAACCGGCGAUUUCCGAAUGGGGAAACCCAGUGUGUUUCGACACACUAUCAUUAACUGAAUCCAUAGGUUAAUGAGGCGAACCGGGGGAACUGAAACAUCUAAGUACCCCGAGGAAAAGAAAUCAACCGAGAUUCCCCCAGUAGCGGCGAGCGAACGGGGAGCAGCCCAGAGCCUGAAUCAGUGUGUGUGUUAGUGGAAGCGUCUGGAAAGGCGCGCGAUACAGGGUGACAGCCCCGUACACAAAAAUGCACAUGCUGUGAGCUCGAUGAGUAGGGCGGGACACGUGGUAUCCUGUCUGAAUAUGGGGGGACCAUCCUCCAAGGCUAAAUACUCCUGACUGACCGAUAGUGAACCAGUACCGUGAGGGAAAGGCGAAAAGAACCCCGGCGAGGGGAGUGAAAAAGAACCUGAAACCGUGUACGUACAAGCAGUGGGAGCACGCUUAGGCGUGUGACUGCGUACCUUUUGUAUAAUGGGUCAGCGACUUAUAUUCUGUAGCAAGGUUAACCGAAUAGGGGAGCCGAAGGGAAACCGAGUCUUAACUGGGCGUUAAGUUGCAGGGUAUAGACCCGAAACCCGGUGAUCUAGCCAUGGGCAGGUUGAAGGUUGGGUAACACUAACUGGAGGACCGAACCGACUAAUGUUGAAAAAUUAGCGGAUGACUUGUGGCUGGGGGUGAAAGGCCAAUCAAACCGGGAGAUAGCUGGUUCUCCCCGAAAGCUAUUUAGGUAGCGCCUCGUGAAUUCAUCUCCGGGGGUAGAGCACUGUUUCGGCAAGGGGGUCAUCCCGACUUACCAACCCGAUGCAAACUGCGAAUACCGGAGAAUGUUAUCACGGGAGACACACGGCGGGUGCUAACGUCCGUCGUGAAGAGGGAAACAACCCAGACCGCCAGCUAAGGUCCCAAAGUCAUGGUUAAGUGGGAAACGAUGUGGGAAGGCCCAGACAGCCAGGAUGUUGGCUUAGAAGCAGCCAUCAUUUAAAGAAAGCGUAAUAGCUCACUGGUCGAGUCGGCCUGCGCGGAAGAUGUAACGGGGCUAAACCAUGCACCGAAGCUGCGGCAGCGACGCUUAUGCGUUGUUGGGUAGGGGAGCGUUCUGUAAGCCUGCGAAGGUGUGCUGUGAGGCAUGCUGGAGGUAUCAGAAGUGCGAAUGCUGACAUAAGUAACGAUAAAGCGGGUGAAAAGCCCGCUCGCCGGAAGACCAAGGGUUCCUGUCCAACGUUAAUCGGGGCAGGGUGAGUCGACCCCUAAGGCGAGGCCGAAAGGCGUAGUCGAUGGGAAACAGGUUAAUAUUCCUGUACUUGGUGUUACUGCGAAGGGGGGACGGAGAAGGCUAUGUUGGCCGGGCGACGGUUGUCCCGGUUUAAGCGUGUAGGCUGGUUUUCCAGGCAAAUCCGGAAAAUCAAGGCUGAGGCGUGAUGACGAGGCACUACGGUGCUGAAGCAACAAAUGCCCUGCUUCCAGGAAAAGCCUCUAAGCAUCAGGUAACAUCAAAUCGUACCCCAAACCGACACAGGUGGUCAGGUAGAGAAUACCAAGGCGCUUGAGAGAACUCGGGUGAAGGAACUAGGCAAAAUGGUGCCGUAACUUCGGGAGAAGGCACGCUGAUAUGUAGGUGAAGCGACUUGCUCGUGGAGCUGAAAUCAGUCGAAGAUACCAGCUGGCUGCAACUGUUUAUUAAAAACACAGCACUGUGCAAACACGAAAGUGGACGUAUACGGUGUGACGCCUGCCCGGUGCCGGAAGGUUAAUUGAUGGGGUUAGCGCAAGCGAAGCUCUUGAUCGAAGCCCCGGUAAACGGCGGCCGUAACUAUAACGGUCCUAAGGUAGCGAAAUUCCUUGUCGGGUAAGUUCCGACCUGCACGAAUGGCGUAAUGAUGGCCAGGCUGUCUCCACCCGAGACUCAGUGAAAUUGAACUCGCUGUGAAGAUGCAGUGUACCCGCGGCAAGACGGAAAGACCCCGUGAACCUUUACUAUAGCUUGACACUGAACAUUGAGCCUUGAUGUGUAGGAUAGGUGGGAGGCUUUGAAGUGUGGACGCCAGUCUGCAUGGAGCCGACCUUGAAAUACCACCCUUUAAUGUUUGAUGUUCUAACGUUGACCCGUAAUCCGGGUUGCGGACAGUGUCUGGUGGGUAGUUUGACUGGGGCGGUCUCCUCCUAAAGAGUAACGGAGGAGCACGAAGGUUGGCUAAUCCUGGUCGGACAUCAGGAGGUUAGUGCAAUGGCAUAAGCCAGCUUGACUGCGAGCGUGACGGCGCGAGCAGGUGCGAAAGCAGGUCAUAGUGAUCCGGUGGUUCUGAAUGGAAGGGCCAUCGCUCAACGGAUAAAAGGUACUCCGGGGAUAACAGGCUGAUACCGCCCAAGAGUUCAUAUCGACGGCGGUGUUUGGCACCUCGAUGUCGGCUCAUCACAUCCUGGGGCUGAAGUAGGUCCCAAGGGUAUGGCUGUUCGCCAUUUAAAGUGGUACGCGAGCUGGGUUUAGAACGUCGUGAGACAGUUCGGUCCCUAUCUGCCGUGGGCGCUGGAGAACUGAGGGGAGCUGCUCCUAGUACGAGAGGACCGGAGUGGACGCAUCACUGGUGUUCGGGUUGUCAUGCCAAUGGCACUGCCCGGUAGCUAAAUGCGGAAGAGAUAAGUGCUGAAAGCAUCUAAGCACGAAACUUGCCCCGAGAUGAGUUCUCCCUGACUCCUUGAGAGUCCUGAAGGAACGUUGAAGACGACGACGUUGAUAGGCCGGGUGUGUAAGCGCAGCGAUGCGUUGAGCUAACCGGUACUAAUGAACCGUGAGGCUUAACCUU
rnacentral:rRNA from 1 species